GACGAACGCUGGCGGCGUGCUUAACACAUGCAAGUCGAACGGAAAGGCCCUGCUUGCAGGGUACUCGAGUGGCGAACGGGUGAGUAACACGUGGGUGAUCUGCCCUGCACUUCGGGAUAAGCUUGGGAAACUGGGUCUAAUACCGGAUAGGAGCCAUCUUUAGUGCGGUGGUUGGAAAGUUUUUUCGGUGUAGGAUGAGCUCGCGGCCUAUCAGCUUGUUGGUGGGGUAAUGGCCUACCAAGGCGGCGACGGGUAGCCGGCCUGAGAGGGUGUACGGCCACAUUGGGACUGAGAUACGGCCCAGACUCCUACGGGAGGCAGCAGUGGGGAAUAUUGCACAAUGGGCGCAAGCCUGAUGCAGCGACGCCGCGUGGGGGAUGAAGGCCUUCGGGUUGUAAACUCCUUUCGCUAGGGACGAAGCUUUUUUGUGACGGUACCUAGAUAAGAAGCACCGGCUAACUACGUG
rnacentral:rRNA from 1 species